rnacentral:rRNA from 1 species
GAUGAACGCUGGCGGUAUGCCUAACACAUGCAAGUCGUACGAGAGUUUUUAACUCUAGUGGCGGACGGGUGAGUAACACGUGAGAAUUUGCCUUUAGGAGGGGGACAACAAUCGGAAACGAAUGCUAAUACCCCAUAUGCUUUCGAGUGAAAUGGAUUUUAUCCGCCUAGAGAGAAGCUCGCGGCUGAUUAGCUUGUUGGUAAGGUAAGAGCUUACCAAGGCGACGAUCAGUAUCUGGUUUGAGAGGACGAUCAGACACACUGGAACUGAGACACGGUCCAGACUCCUACGGGAGGCAGCAGUGGGGAAUUUUCCGCAAUGGGCGAAAGCCUGACGGAGCAAUACCGCGUGAGGGGAAGAAUGCCUAUGGGGUUGGUAAACCUACGUUUUUUCCUAGGGUAGGGAAAGUCGAAAAUGACGUGUACCUGAAGAAUAAGACAUCGGCUAACUCCGUGCC